rnacentral:rRNA from 1 species
UAACACGUGGAUAACCUACCUAUAAGACUGGGAUAACUUCGGGAAACCGGAGCUAAUAUCGGAUAAUAUUUUGAACCGCAUGGUUCAAAAGUGAAAGACGGUCUUGCUGUCACUUAUAGAUGGAUCCGCGCUGCAUUAGCUAGUUGGUAAGGUAACGGCUUACCAAGGCAACGAUGCAUAGCCGACCUGAGAGGGUGAUCGGCCACACUGGAACUGAGACACGGUCCAG